CCAGUACCUGCCUGCCCUGGAAACCAGAAAGGCAUGAGAUUUGAACGAGCUGUUGUCUGUACAGAUGGAGCCUCAGCUGAGGGACUGCUGCUCCUCUUCACCAUGCUGAACCUCGCUGUUGGGUAAGGAAUGGCCAGUGCAUGGAUUUCCAAAUAUUGGGAAGAGCAGGUCUUCUGAAGAGCCAGGUGGCACCUACCCAUCAUGCUGAGCUCAGAUUGUGCGGAUGGGCAAGAGAAUGGAAAACGUGGCCCACAGCAGCUUCAACACGUGGCACAGAGAUUGCAGCUCCGAGGAGGCCGUUUCACCUGCUCUCUCCUCCUCGCUCGUUCCUGGCGGUGGCUUCACUUAAAGCUUGGACUCGUGGCUCCAAUCAAGCGAGCGCCCAAAUUCCUAGAGGUACCAUUUUGCAGCAAUGUGAGCCUAAUUGUUUCUAGAUUGAAUAUUUUCAUGGGAUAUCAGUCUCAGUGUUUCUGGAAUUAGCAUGCUCACUGAAGGAUUGAAGAUGCUUAUCGGGCCCGACAGCUUUAGUGUCAGCGGGAUCAUCGACAGCUCUGCGAAACUUAGCUGGGCUGGCGACAAUAUUUAUUUAUGCGGAAUGGAGACAUAUGGCCAGAAUCAUCCGCUCCCUUUCCUCAGUAAUUAAAACAUCUGGGAGCACAAAAGGGCUGUAAGAAGAAAAAAAACCCUCUCUCUGCUAAAUAAAACAGGAGCGCGGUGCCUUUACAUAAUUGCCCAGGCUUUCUUUUGCCAUCGCGGCAAGGUCUCUGGAGGACCAACCUUCUCUAAUAUUUUUUGAGAGCGUGACGGUCAAUAGAAAUGCAACUGA